rnacentral:misc_RNA from 1 species
AUAAAAACUACUAAAAUAAUAAAUAGCUACUAUAAUGUCUGAUCAGUAAAAUAUGUAUUGCAGAUUCAAGAUGUACAAUAUCAAUAAAGUUUCAAUUGAACUCCGCAUCCCUUUAGUAAGGCAAAAAGUAAUAAUUGCUGACGUCCGCUGUACCGUGGGAAGCUAUGUGAGCAGUCUAUGAGAUAUCAUCUAAUUAAUAUACAAGGAGCAAUGCCUUCGUCAAACUGGAUACAUCAAUGCCGCUGCGGCACAACGACAAAAUAUAACAAACCUGUAGUGGUAAAUUGUAUUGUAUGAAAUCACAAUUUAUGUAAGGUAAAGUAGGCAAUAUCUUACAGAAGAUUACAGGCAUAUAAUACUGCCUUCCAGUAUUGUUGCGUCCCUGUGGCGAAUACGGUAGUUAGAGCUCCUCGCGAGGAUCGGGUUAAGGUUCGCAAGGCACUGUUAAUACUCCUGUUGUUGCUGACAUCCACAAGCUACAGUAUUCUCUUACUACCGGCGGUCCCUACGCUUAUUUGCUACCGUAAUGGUAUAAAUAAGAAAGAAAAUGGAAACGUCUUUUUUGUAAAUAGUUAGUGCUGCUAAUCCUUUUUGAAGAUUGCAAUAAUCGUUACCAACCAAAACCAAUGGUACCACCUACACCAAUGGACCAAUGGUACAAAAGACAAAAGAUUUAAGUAAACAAUCAAAUGAAUGUAGAAUAAUCAAACGUUUGCAAUUGAAGCAGGAAGUCUUACACACGCCCACAAUCUAGUACACAAUAAUUACAAUUAUCAGUUGAGAAAUGUAUAUGAAAUUUUUUAUUGUAAUUGAUAAAUAUUUUACUAUAUAAUAUAUAAAUUACAGCCUAAAUAAUAAAAAUUCAUAAAAUU